rnacentral:rRNA from 1 species
UACGUAGGGUGCAAGCGUUGUCCGGAAUUAUUGGGCGUAAAGAGCUCGUAGGCGGUCUGUCGCGUCGGACGUGAAAAUCAGGGCUCAACCCUGGACCUGCGUUCGAUACGGGCAGACUAGAGUUCGGUAGGGGAGACUGGAAUUCCUGGUGUAGCGGUGAAAUGCGCAGAUAUCAGGAGGAAGACCAGUGGCGAAGGCGGGUCUCUGGACAGUUCCUGACACUGAGGCACGAAGGCCAGGGGAGCAAACGGGG